AAACAUUUAGUUUGUGUCGGGAGCUCAACCUGAGAGCAGCUCCGAGAAAAAUUAAAUUUUUCGUUUUCUUUUCGGAAAAAAAAUUAUCUAAAUUCUCUAUUUUCGGCUAGAAAUAAGAAUAAAGUUUUAAUAGAAUUAAGAAAAAAGUUAAGCCAUAAAAGUGUAUCGUGAAGUUCAGUGAAUACAGUAUUCCUCUUACUCAUUAAGAAAUCUCUUCCCCUCACAUACCCCCCGCCCCUUGCUAUUCUUUUUGAACCAACUCGAAUUUUAUAUGAGUCCCCAUCCUGGAUGCAAGAAUAAUAUAAUAAAACAAAACUACUACAAGGAUACACUGGAUAAUACGAGAGAGGGAGUACAUACAUAAUACCAACCGAAACUCGAGUGACGCGCUACACCAAAAGAAUGUAAGACGCUCCUCAUAACAUACCGCAAUCAUAAUACUUCUGGAACAUGAUCACAAUGCAAACAGCAACAGCCUCUCAGCACCUCCUUCAGCAACCAACUUCGACUUCUGUGACUUCCUUUGCAGCACACUGAAAUCUUUCCUAGAGCUUUUCCACAACACUUGCACACUUUUGUACUACAUAAAAAAACUUAUAAAUAUAAAACAUUUUUACACCGAAAAAA